rnacentral:rRNA from 1 species
AUUGAACGCUGGCGGCAGGCUUAACACAUGCAAGUCGAACGAGUGGCGGACGGGUGAGUAAUGCUUGGGCAUCUAGCUUAUGGAGGGGUCUAACUACGGGAAACUGUAGCUAAUACCGCUUACCAUAGGAUGAGCCCAAGUGGGAUUAGGUAGUUGGUGAGGUAAAGGCUCACCAAGCCGACGAUCCCUAGCUGGUCUGAGAGGAUGACCGGCCACACUGGGACUGAGACACGGCCCAGACUCCUACGGGAGGCAGCAGUGGGGAAUAUUGCACAAUGGGCGAAAGCCUGAUGCAGCCAUGCCGCGUGAAUGAAGAAGGCCUUCGGGUUGUAAAGUACUGUCGGUAGGGAGGCGUUACCGACAGAAGAAGCACCGGCUAACUCCGUGCCAGCAGCCGCGGUAAUAC